GCCAGGGACUGAGAGAGCUGGGGGAAAUGGAGGAGGACUGGUAACGGCUACAGAAUUUCUUUUUAAGAUGAGCAAAGUAAAGCUCAGAGACAAUAAAACUAGCACCAAGUUUCACAACUGCAGAGUAGCUGAAGUGUGAUUCAAAACCAGGUAAGAUGUGCUGAGUGAUUCUUGCAUGGCGUGCACCAGCCCAGGGACUCACACACGCUAGGCAAGUGCUCUACCAGUGAGCUACACCCUGACCCUCAUCCUCAGCUCUGAAAGAAGGUGAAGCAUAUAAUUUAGAACACAGAUCAUCAUGUGAAUAGCAAAAAAAAAAAAAAAAGUCUUUGGAUGAUUUUCAUUUAUCUGUGACCUUACACGUCUCUAUACCCCUACAGUGCCGUUUACCGAGGACUCACCUGGCACGCAUGCUGUUCCAUAUCACACCAUGUUAUUCUCCCUGUAGAACCUAUGAGGUCCUAUUUUGCAGAUGAGCAGUGAAGGCCAGGCAGGAACUAGUCAGGCCCAUUGUCACACAGACACCACAGCUGCAGGGCAGCCACCACCCUGGGUGCCUGGCUCCUGAGCCCCAAAUAUUGGCCCCACUGCCCUUGUGGGGCCUCUGCAUUCCUUGAUAUCGAUCUAUAAUCUACAAACAGGGAAAGGUGUGCACCUUAAGCACACAACUUGGUUAACCUCACUAGUUCAGAUUGCAAAGAAGAAACUUCUAAAACCCUCUGUCUUCCCUGCCUCCUCCGGGGUAGUUAUGGGUCUGCUUUCCGGCACCGCGGCUCAGUGUACUCCAUUCUAGAACUUCACACAAACACAAUCAUGCGGGGUGUCCCCUUUUGGCUUCCUUGCUCAGCUCAAGGGACGUACCAUGCCACAUGCCUGUCAACCCUGCUCUCUUUACCGUUGGCCUCAUUCCACUGCGUGCCUUUGGCCUGGGCUGUGUACAAGCCCCAAGCUGAGCAGCAGGACCCUAACCUGCUGGAGCAUCCUACCCCCCACUGAUGGAGAACCCGUGAGCGCAGCCUGGCAGAGGAGCGGCUUCUGGGGACCCUGCAGCGCCCUCUCCCUGUGCAGACGCUGGCUGGCCCAGCUCGGCGAGGAGGCCGGUCCCC